UUUAAAAACAGAGUCUGAUGUGAUCAAGGAGCGGGGAUUUAAGUAGAAGAGUUUUGCAGUAAGAUGCUGGACUUAAAUGUCUCUAAGGACAGAGAUCCCCCAAGUUUCUUCAUCCCUUAUGUUAUGUUGAACUGCAACCCCAAAUGCAAGCAGAAUUAUUGUCUUCUCU
rnacentral:lncRNA from 12 species